AGUGAACGCUGGCGGUAGGCCUAACACAUGCAAGUCGAACGGCAGCACAGUAAGAGCUUGCUCUUACGGGUGGCGAGUGGCGGACGGGUGAGGAAUACAUCGGAAUCUACUUUUUCGUGGGGGAUAACGUAGGGAAACUUACGCUAAUACCGCAUACGACCUACGGGUGAAAGCAGGGGAUCUUCGGACCUUGCGCGAUUGAAUGAGCCGAUGUCGGAUUAGCUAGUUGGCGGGGUAAAGGCCCACCAAGGCGACGAUCCGUAGCUGGUCUGAGAGGAUGAUCAGCCACACUGGAACUGAGACACGGUCCAGACUCCUACGGGAGGCAGCAGUGGGGAAUAUUGGACAAUGGGCGCAAGCCUGAUCCAGCCAUACCGCGUGGGUGAAGAAGGCCUUCGGGUUGUAAAGCCCUUUUGUUGGGAAAGAAAAGCAGCAGGUUAAGACCCCGCUGUUCUGACGGUACCCAAAGAAUAAGCGCCGGCUAACUUCGU
rnacentral:rRNA from 1 species